ensembl:lncRNA
CUUACUUUCACCUUUAAAAUACAAAAACACAUAUAAACAACACACACUUUUAGUUUAAUAUAGUUAACUAAAGUUCACAUACUAUUAUCACAUUGCAUUGAAACUACUUCCUCCAAAGUAAACUGUCAUGCAGUGCAGGUUAGGACCCAAAUGCAGUUUUCAUAGGUAAGAAGGAGUAACAAAAAACUAACCUUUUAUUAAGGUCGAGGAGUAAUCGACAACACCGGGCAGCGAAUAGUAGAAAUGAGAAUAAAAAAUAAGAAAACUUCCAAAAAGGAUCACGAGGAGAACACAAGAGCACACAAACAGAUACUGAAACAAUGACUGACAGGCAGGGCAGGACUAUGUAAGCACACACAAGGGACUUUCAGAUAAAACAGAAAGUAAACAAACCACUAAAUAGAUAUGACAAUGGCAUACGAGGAAACACUAGAGGAGGCUGGUCUUAAAUACAUAAAAAGACAAGGAUAUACCUUUAAAUAACUCUUAACACUAACAUUAUCUGGAUUAUAAAAUAACAAGAAGUAAACAGAAAUGACUAAAGAGUCACAAUGAACCCAAGCAGGAAUGCCCAAUAAUAAACUCUGCAAUGACAAUAAAAUCUAACCACAAUCAACUAGAAGUAAAACAGAAAUGAGGAACAGUACAGAGGCAGAGGCACAAAUUAGGACAAUCUUGAAAACAUAAGAUUUCUAAAUAGAAUUAGAAAGAAAACCUAACCUAAACUGAAAGCAAAGACUGAAGUCUCCAUGAUAGAAACAAUCGGUAAGGUGCAUACCAUGCAGGUGUUUUACUCAUCACAUGAGUCAGUGGUGCAUACCUAUCAUUCUCUGAUUAUGCCAACAAAACUGAACUAAAACCUUCUCGUACGCAUGCACGUUAUUAUGAUAACUUCAGCACAUGUGCAGGAGGAGUACAGGACUAAACGGCUCUAACAUGUUCCUCCAAACGGCUGCUGAGUGUAAAGUCAUUGUAGUGCAGCCAUUCCCAAAGACAAGAGUGCUGCGGCCCACUUCAAAACCAGAAAGACCAUCUCUGAUCAGUAAGUCUGGUUUCUGUUGUUGCCUUGAAGCCUGGCGUUUCUGUGUGUGAGACAGUGGAGGAGAUUCUGUUCCUGUUCAUGUGUGAUUGGCACUCUGUAUUCAUUGCCUUUCCUUUCCAAAAACCUUAUAAAUAGUGAUGGGCCAACCGAGCCUUCGUAAAACACUGAAAAAUUGAAACCAUUUGUGCCGCAAUAGUGUCGAGGCUUCGAAACAAUCUGAAACCCAUCUCCACAGUGACACCUGCUGGCCAAUUUGGGAAUUGCCACAUCUUGAUGGUGCAGUUCUGUCAAACGAUGACAGAGACGAGCCCUGCACAUUUCCAAAUAAAGCAACUUAUUAUAUCCGACUGUCAAUAAUUGUGGACAGCACAUGUUGUGGAGAAAUCUCCGUACAAACUCAAACAAUUGAGACUGUAAUGAUCACUUUGCUUCAGGAAAAAAAUUCUCGCUCUGUUAACCUUCAUGUUGCUCAGAAUAAACCAAUAACAUAGUAAAACAUUCUGAGAAAUAACUCUUGGGUUUAUUGCAAUAACCAACUGUUUUUGGGAUCAGUCAGCUUUGUUUUGUUUGUUUUGCUCACACCCCUCAAUGCUUGGAUGUGUUUGGCUGAUGUUUAAGUUUUCUGGGAGUUCAUGUCAUCAGGUUUGUUCUACACACCGUUAAGCAAAGCUAGAAGCUGGCAUUGCAUUGGGCUUUAAUUUUAAUUAAUCUAAAAAUUUAUAUUUAAAUGAAAAAGGAAAAUGUGUUUUCCUUCUUUAUAAAAAAAAAAAUAGCAUUGAUUAUAUUUUGGUGUGCUAAUUGUCAUCAAUUUUAACAGUCCACAUCAUGCAUACACUUUUAAAUCAUUCUCUGCUGAGCGACCUCUGAAAUAUGAAGAAACUUUCCUUAACUUUACACUGCUGUGGAUGCUGUAUCUUACAACAGUGGCAUGAUGUUUACUGUGAGUCUGGGGUUUUGGUUAUAGUGAACCUGCCCCGUGUUGUUUAUGAGAUAUUCUCACCAGAAGCAUCAGUGACAAUAAAAAAAGGAAACACUCAUCUGUCAUGAAAGGGUGUUAAGAAAUAGAUGACCUGUAAUUAAUGAUUACUAAUAAUUUGUUUUCUAGCUUUUAUUUUCUAUAGUACAAAUAUAUUCUUUAUGGAGGUGCAGUAUGUGAAUAACAGGUUGUAGUCAGGAUGACAUCACCUGAUACAUGUUUUUAUAGGCAGCAGACAUGUAUAUUGACAUAUGGGUCUCUUGUGGGGCCUCCUUACUGUGGGGCACGUCCAAAAUGCAUCACCUAGGUGCUGCCCUGGAGACAUCCUGGCCAAAUGCCCAAAGGACCUCAUCCUGUGGCUGUGGAGAAUUACCACAGAGAACAAGUAGUUAUGGAACAAAUGUCCAUUUGCAGUACCGCCUACGGCACCAUAUACAGCAUAUGCAUAAUACAGUACUGGUGUGUAUUGUAAAAUAUUGCUGUACUGGCUAAUUACACCAUAAGGCACAGAAAAACUAAUUGUUGCAUAGUUGACAUCAAUGGGUUCACACCCAUUUUGCAAAAAUGUGAAAGAGCAAGAGAGAUAGAUGUAUAUCCUCCAGCAUGUCCCUCCAUCAUCUCAGCAUUUCUGAAAAGGUGCUCGUUUUACACAGUUAAAUGUAAAAUAAGUAAAUAUUUGCAGAACUACAAUUCAAUUUAUAAGGAAAAUGGAUAAUGCAUUAAAAAUUUGGCCUUUGGGUGACAAGAUAGAACCAUUCAAAUGAAAAAUGUACUGGAACUUUUAUGAUUGAUUGAUUGAUUGAUUGAUCAUACUUUAUUCAUCCCGAGGGAAAUUGGGUUAAGGCUGCCAGCCUGCCAGCGCCGUCUUACCCUUCCGACCAUACACACAUUACACAAACAUCACAUGGGGAAGACAGGUCAGAGGGGUAUAACAUGGAAAAGCACAACAUGAGGAAAGAUAAGGAGAAAAAAAUAACUUCCCCCAGACUGAGCUCCAACAGGGAGAUCAGUUUGAGAACAGAAAAAAAAACACCUCUGCACAUAGCACAUGAAAAAAACUCUUAAUACACCAAAGAAACACAUGACAAGCAACAGGGAUGGGUAAAGGGUGAGAGACAGCCAAUGUAGACAGUACAUCCGGGCCUGCAGCCUAUGCGCUGGUCUCCAUGAUCCACCGUCAGCAUUGGAAGGGAAUAAGCGUCGAAGGCGUUUGGAGGGGGGAGGGGGGAUGAGUGUACAUCUGCAUGUGUAUAUAUGUCUGUGUGCAUGUGUGUGUGUGUGUGUGUGUGUGUGUGUGUGUGUGUGUGUGUGUCCAGAGUUCAGCUGAGACAGUGUCCUUCGCCCUGCCAGGCUAAGUAAACAGUCUUCCAGCCAACCCAGGUGGCUUUGCAUAGAAUGGGAAGAACAGUCUCAACACAGUCGUUAUCAGGGUGUUUUGUUCAGCUCCAGCCUUGAGACCGCAGCUGGCGCCGAAGGGGUCUCCGCAUGAAGUGAUGGUGGUUUUUACUUUAGUGCGAACAGCUCAUAUGAAUUUCAAAGCUGUUCUAACAGUCCGACACUGGUCUCUCAAUCUCCCGUUGGGGAGCCGCGAGCUUCUCCAUGAUGUUAUCAAACUUACGCUCCGUGAUGUUGUCAUUCUUGUGCUCAAAGAGCCGAUUCUGAGAACUCACGACCGCAGUGAGCUUCUCCAAGAUGUAAUCCAAUUUGCGCUCAGAGGUGUUAUUCCGAGCGAGCCCCUCCAGAUGUAAUCCAGUUUGCACUCAGAGGUCUUGUUCUGAGUAUUCACGGCAGCCGUGCGGUUCUCCAAGAUCUUAUCCGUGCUGCACUCAAUGAGCCCAUUUUGAGAAACUCACGCCUCGUCCCAUCGUUUCAAUCCCAGCGGGCAGCCUUGUGGGGGUUUGAACAGCCGGUUCCGCUUCCUUAAUUCUUCGAUAAGCCAGGGCCAAGCCAGCUCCGAUCAGCAAGAACCCUGUUAUCAUGGUUCCGAAAAGGUAGAUAUCUUCAGCAGUCAGGCUCACCCGAGCCCAGACUUCUCGUUGAGAAAGGGGUGUCAAUUGCAUUCAGAGACCAGUUGAUCAAAUCCAUAAUUCCUCUUUUAGGUUUUAGAGAACAGACUGUGAGAGAGUGUUCCAGGGAAAAGUAAUACAAAAAAACACGAGACUAGACAAGGACACAAGAGGCUAAGCAGGGAAGCUAAGGGAGAGGAGAGGAGGAGGAAAAAAAGUGCGACCGCCUUCGCCGAGAGCAAGAGAAGAAGUUUAGUUUUAUAUAUUAGUGAAUAUAUAUUCAUCCAGUAAACUGUAGGACUCUCUGAAAGUCUUUUUGACUUGGUGCCUCCUACCUCUGAGUCCCCAUGCAAGUUUGUCCUACACAUAAGAAGAAAUGCUUUUUAAGGUGAUUGACAGGAGAGGAAAGACAGGCCAACUUUGUUAGCUGUUCGUUAGGAUAUGCUCGAGAGGACAAAAGAUUUUGCACCUCGUUAUUGUUGGACCUCUGUGUGGAAACUGCAAACGGGACGUCAUAAGGUAAUGCAAACGACUCUCCUACCUAACAUACUUGUUUAUUCAUUUUUAAGAGCAUAUAUAUUUUUUGUGUGUGUGAGGGGGGGCUUAAACUCGGUGUUAGCUUGGUCGAAAUAGCACAUUAGCUGAAUUAUUCUGGAAAAAAUAGGUUGUGUGUGUUUUUUUUCUUUUCUUAUUUAAAUAUAUAUUUAGAUAUAUAUUUUCCACGGGGAGAGGCGAGGAACACAGGCGCAACACAGUCUUUGUCUUUUUCCCGCCGAGUGUGGUGCAUUGUCCUCCUGCGCUUCUGUUCUAUGACUAUUGAGAAGCUGGCCAUGCUAACAGUGGCACAUUUAGCUUCAGCUCUUUGGAAGACAAGACAAAGCAGCAGUGUGGUGCAUUGCUGUCCUCCUGCCCUUGCUGGCCGCGCUGACAUUGUGAUGUAGCCUCAGUUCUUUGAGAGACAAGACAAAACAGCAGGGAAUAAUUUUAUGUCUGCAAGCCGCUGGAUGAUCAGUUUGGAGGGCAAGAUAUUUUAUGAGCCUGAGCAGAUGCACGACUUUGGCAGCACCCUUGCUGUCUUCUUUGCGUCAUACUACGUUUUCAACCUUGAGUAUCAGGAGUCAGCGUCCAUCACACUGGAGAUGAUACAGAGGUUCUUUGUGAGGAUCCAGACAUGGGAACAAAAUGCCCUGCAAAACUUGGUACAAGCCGCAAGACAGGUCGUGUCGUAAAGAGGAAGGUUACAAGCAUCAGCCCUCGGAUCACCACCUUCCUCCAGCGGCUCUCUGGAGGACUUCCAACUAGAUGAGCAUUUGCAAAGGCCAAAUGAGCUUUUGCAUGCCUUAGAAGUGCCUGGAGAAGUGGCGUUUUCCUUGGUCUGCAUCCGUGGAACCCAGCAGUGUCCGUUGGACUGUCUGCCUUGAGACAUUGCCACCAGCAGAGCCCAGAUUCACCAGAAUGGCCUUGGUGGUGAUCCUUGGAUUCUUUUUCACCUCUCUCACUAUCCCCUGGCCAGCACAGGUUUCACUUUUGGCUUCCGACAACGUCCUCUGAGAUUUUCCACAGUGCGGAACAUCUUGUAUGUUUUAAUAAUACUUUGCACUGUAGCC